CUUACCCUAGCAAAACAAGUUUUAAGAGAACCGUCUUUGUCUGGCAAGUGCAAGGUCCUGAUGACAAUCCUCAGUACUGGGAAAAAAAAGAGAGAGAGAGAGAGACCAUCUUUAUCUGUCAUGGUCCUUUUCUUCUCUGGACUAACAAGUAUUGUUAUGAAUGUUUAGGUGUUGUUAAAAAAGUACUCAACAGCUCUUUUUUGAAUCUUUCUCUUACAGAAGACAUCCUUAACCUUUUCUUGAAUUACGUGUAUGAAAAACUCCAGAGCAGUGUAGUGGAGAGGCACGAACAAGAAUAUUCUUGCAAUUUACUGAGCUGUGUGUACUGAUUCUACUUUAUAACACAUAGAACCAUGGGACACAAAAACCGGUAUGUCAAAGUUCCCCGUGGCCACAUCUGGGUUGAAGGUGAUCAUCAUGGACACAGUUUUGACAGCAAUUCUUUUGGGCCGAAUCUGUCUAGGUUGCUUUAAAUUGCUGCCUAUUGUUGAUCAUAAUACAACUGGAUUUUUCUAUGUUCAAGUAGACUUUAAUUGUAAUCUACUAAAGAAGAUUAAGAAGAAGAAUACCUUACUCUUUGUUUACAGGUUUGUUUUAUUAUUUCCUAUUUAUUUCUUUAUAUGUUUAUUUGCUUUUUUGGAUUUUCUUGCAAAUAUAUGUGGG
rnacentral:lncRNA from 1 species